rnacentral:rRNA from 1 species
UACGUAGGGGGCAAGCGUUGUCCGGAAUCAUUGGGCGUAAAGAGCGUGUAGGCGGCUCGGUAAGUCCGCUGUGAAAGUCCAGGGCUCAACCCUGGAAUGCCGGUGGAAACUGUCGAGCUAGAGUCCGGAAGAGGCGAGUGGAAUUCCUGGUGUAGCGGUGAAAUGCGCAGAUAUCAGGAAGAAUACCAAUGGCGAAGGCAGCUCUCUGGGACGGUACUGACGCUGAGACGCGAAAGCGUGGGGAGCGAACAGG